GGCGCGAAUGUCGCGCGUGGGGAGGCCGAUCUCCGAGUCCUGCGGCGACUGGACUCCUGCUGGAGGCGUUGGGUGCGACGUGGGGCUGCUGGGUGUGCUUGAGGGCUUGCUGCGGCACUCUUUGCUGCUUAGGGCUAGGGUUCUUUUUUGUUUUUUUUUUGUUCUGGGCUAGGAAUUGUUUUAGGCCGCUUAUUUGUUGGGUUUGAACUAUUUUUUUGUUUUGUUCGGACCCAGGCCGAUUGGGUCUUAUUACUGAGACAAUAAACAGAAUAUUUUAAAGGUAUUAUAAGGAUUUUUUGUUGAAAAACUAUAAAGCAAAAUUUGAAUAUGAAAAUGUGGAAAAAAUAUUAAAUUGUAAAUUUAGAAAAGAUAAGGAGA
rnacentral:lncRNA from 1 species